CACCGCCCACCAUACCAUAGGGGUUUCACCCUCUUGGCCUGUUUGAUGGCAGCACACGUCUCACAGUCGUGGAUAACCUGAGAAAUACUGUCCAUGGUUAAAUCCACCCCUCGGUCUCAUGCCCACUUAUAGGUCUAUCUUGGACACCCCUAUCUUUGCAGCCUGAUCUACCUGCUCAUUGUUUUGGUGCUCCUCAUUGGCUCUACUCUUGGGGACAUGGACAUCUACAUGGUGGACCUUCACAGCAAUGUCCAAGGCCAGUUGAACAGCUUUGAGUUCAGCAAGUUGGCUUGAUCCACCUUCUCCUUCAGUGGCCUCUGCAACCUGUCGUGUGGGGCUCCAUACAGCUGCUUUCCACUUCUAGUGCUAGUAGCAACAGCCAUUGGUUGAGGCUUAUUGUUUGGUUUAACCGCUGGCUUAGGCUCACUAUGUGGUUUAGCUGCUGGCUUUGAGCCUGGGGUGUUGGUUGCAACCUGAGCGACUGGGAUAGCUCUUGAUGUAUCUCCCUGCCCCCCUUCCUUGGUCUGCUGCCCUAGAGUAUCUAGCAGUGUGCGAUAAGCAUAUGCCAGGGCCCAGCUCACUGCAAUGAUCCUUUUCUCCUUAGGGCCAUCAUUGAGAUACUUCUCUUUCAGAUAUUUCCCCACCUCAGCUGGGUUCUGAAUUUGUUCAUGGGGAAAGUCCCAGACUAUAGGGUCAGAGAAUUCCUUCAGGAUUUGGCCCAUAUUUUCCCAUUUUCCACCCCACUCAGGAUUCUCCACACGUGGGUCUACUUCUGGGUCAGGGGUCUCAUCAGCUCUUCUAGACAUCUCAGCCCUCAUUCUAGAGAAGCUGCAGACCAUAUAGAGGAAGCCUACCAGAUUAAAUGCCAGAAAGAUGGUCUCUUUAACAUUCAGGGGAAACUGAACAUUCUCCACAAGUGACGUAACAGAUUCAAAGGAGAAGAA